UACGAAGGGGGCUAGCGUUGUUCGGAUUUACUGGGCGUAAAGCGCACGUAGGCGGAUCGUUAAGUCGGGGGUGAAAUCCUGGAGCUCAACUCCAGAACUGCCUUCGAUACUGGCGAUCUCGAGUCCGGAAGAGGUGAGUGGAACUCCUAGUGUAGAGGUGGAAUUCGUAGAUAUUCGGAAGAACACCAGUGGCGAAGGCGACUUACUGGUCCAUGACUGACGCUGAGGCUCGAAAGCGUGGGGAGCAAACAGG
rnacentral:rRNA from 1 species